rnacentral:rRNA from 1 species
UGACCUCGGAUCAGGUAGGACUACCCGCUGAACUUAAGCAUAUCAAUAAGCGGAGGAAAAGAAACCAACAGGGAUUGCCCCAGUAACGGCGAGUGAAGCGGCAACAGCUCAAAUUUGAAAUCUGGCCUUCGGGUCCGAGUUGUAAUUUGGAGAGGAUGCUUUUGGCGCGGCGCCGUCCGAGUUCCUUGGAACAGGACGCCAUAGAGGGUGAGAGCCCCGUACGGGCGGCCGCCUAGCCUUUGUAAAGCUCCUUCGACGAGUCGAGUAGUUUGGGAAUGCUGCUCAAAAUGGGAGGUAAAUUUCUUCUAAAGCUAAAUACCGGCCAGAGACCGAUAGCGCACAAGUAGAGUGAUCGAAAGAUGAAAAGCACUUUGAAAAGAGGGUUAAAAAGUACGUGAAAUUGUUGAAAGGGAAGCGCCUGUGACCAGACUUGCGGCCCGUGGAUCAUCCAGUGUUCUUCACCGGUGCACUCCGCGGGCUGCAGGCCAGCAUCGGUUUUCCUAGGGGGAUAAAGGUCGCGGGAACGUAGCUCUUUCGGGAGUGU